rnacentral:rRNA from 1 species
GAUGAACGCUGGCGGCGUGCCUAAUACAUGCAAGUCGAGCGAACAGACGAGGAGCUUGCUCCUCUGACGUUAGCGGCGGACGGGUGAUUAACACGUGGAUAACUUACCUAUAAGACUGGGUUAACUUCGGGAAACCGGAGCUAAUACCGGAUAAUAUAUUGAACCGCAUGGUUCAAUAGUGAAAGACGGUUUUGCUGUCACUUAUAGAUGGAUCCGCGCCGCAUUAGCUAGUUGGUAAGGUAACGGCUUACCAAGGCAACGAUGCGUAGCCGACCUGAGAGGGUGAUCGGCCACACUGGAACUGAGACAAGGUCCAGACUCCUACGGGAGGCAGCAGUAGGGAAUCUUCCGCAAUGGGCGAAAGCCUGACGGAGCAACGCCGCGUGAGUGAUGAAGGUCUUCGGAUCGUAAAACUCUGUUAUUAGGGAAGAACAAAUGUGUAAGUAACUAUGCACGUCUUGACGGUACCUAAUCAGAAAGCCACGGCUAACUACGUG